CUCGGUUGAUUUCUCUUCCCCCUCUCCCCAGGACUGGGUCUCCGCCUGGACGUUGGACCUGCCUCUGCGCUCACACUCUGGGAGAUACCUCCCUGACCCCACACAGUGGAUGAACCAUCUGCAGUAUCGGACCUGGGGGCCUCAUCCCGUCUCCCCCACACAGUCCCCAGAGCCUGCUGCCUUCCUUGCAUCCACAGGGGCAGGUGGGGCUGGGCCCAUGGAGGGUAAGGAGAUAGCCCUGUCCCUGUUCUGUGCCGCUCAGCCUGGAAGCCCACCCGGACUCCUGGGUCCUCCUGUCCCUGCUGAUGCCUCUUUCUUCUCUGCCCCCUAGCAGCCAGGCCCACAGGGGGCCCCCUUGGUACACCCUGGCUCCACAGAGGGCACAUCGCCAAGGACCAUGGCUACAGGAUGCCAGCUGCUAUGCCCCCUCAGGAGUCAUCCCUGCUUCUCCCCCCACAUCGUCUCCGCUUUCCCAACACAGCUGAAUCAAAGGGGACUCGCCCCCAGCCCACGCAGACCAGGGCACGUGCAGGAGCUGGGACACGCACUGAGGACGCCGCCAGCUCUGGGGUGAGGCACCGACACCGGGCAGCUAACAGGGCCUCCAGGAGGCUGUUGUGGAGAGGAGCCUGGGAGCAGGACAGCACGGAGACAGAUUGUGAGGAGUCCUGGGACAGGGUCCCAAGACUGUGGUGCAAGAAGAAGCCAGGAGGAGACACCACAGCCCUGGAUCAGUGGGGGAGCAGGAGCUGGCGCCAGGAGCCAUGGGGGGAGCAGGCAGGGGAUGACAGGCCAGAAGAGUCUCCGGGGAAGCCAAGGCAGAGGCUGAGUGUCAGAGUGAGACAGCCUGGGGGGAACAGGGAUUGUGGAGAAGGGGCACAGCUGAAGA
rnacentral:lncRNA from 1 species